AGCGAACGCUGGCGGCAGGCCUAACACAUGCAAGUCGAACGGCUCUUCGGAGCAGUGGCGGACGGGUGAGUAACGCGUGGGAACGUGCCCUUUGGUUCGGAACAACACAGGGAAACUUGUGCUAAUACCGGAUGUGCCCUUCGGGGGAAAGAUUUAUCGCCAUUGGAGCGGCCCGCGUUGGAUUAGGUAGUUGGUGGGGUAAAGGCCCACCAAGCCUACGAUCCAUAGCUGGUCUGAGAGGAUGAUCAGCCACACUGGGACUGAGACACGGCCCAGACUCCUACGGGAGGCAGCAGUGGGGAAUCUUGCGCAAUGGGCGAAAGCCUGACGCAGCCAUGCCGCGUGAAUGAUGAAGGUCUUAGGAUUGUAAAAUUCUUUCACCGGGGAAGAUAAUGACGGUACCCGGAGAAGAAGCCCUGGCUAACUUCGUGCCAGCCGCCGCCGUAAUAC
rnacentral:rRNA from 1 species